CUUGUGAAGAGAUCUUGAUCAGAUCAUAUGUUGUCACAAAGAAUGGAGCCACGGAUCGCUUCUGCUUCCCGGUGGGAUUAGAGGCCAAACCUUGAAGCCUUCUUUACCUGUACACUAGUUCUUUCUUCAACUCAGUUGAUGCUUUUUCUUGAAAUCUUCCACAUCUUCCUUACAAAGCCAAAGUGACGUCUGGAGAGCUUCUUGUGGAGGGUUACCCAACCAACAGAUUACUCAAAUGCACCAAAGGAGACAGAGCAGGAGUGAAAGCUCCAUGCCAGAGCAGAUGGUGCAUGUCUCCUUGUGGCACCUCCACUGAAACACAUUACCCCACAGAUAGCAGGCAUCCCACAGAUACUCAAGUGCAUUCUUAAAGUCAUAACCACCACAUCGCUAAGUGCACCACAAAAUGCAAUACUCUAAGUCUUGCAUAAACUUUACACUGCACAGGCCCCAAAUCAAAUAAUUCUGUUGUUUGUCAUUGAAGUUGACUUUGAAAAUGUUCUCCAAGGAAGAGACAGUGAAAGACAAAGUUUAAAAUAGCUCUUGAACAUUAAAUCUUGCUCUUAUCAAGCUCUUGUCUUCUGUACUCCUUUUUUAAUCCUCUCCAAAGCUCUCAAAUAGGUUCUCCUUUGAGAAAGGACCAAACAUGCAAGACUUCAGGAAGACUGCUUGUCUUUUGAUAAA